rnacentral:lncRNA from 10 species
CAAAAAUAUUUUAAAUAUCAAUAAUUAGUCAAAAUAUAAUAGUUAAAAGUCUUAUUUAUAACAACACAAAAAUAAAUACCUAAAAUAUACUUACUAAAUGUGGAAGAUGUAUGAUGAUAUAAUGUUCUUUGGAAAUCAUUUAAUAAAGUUUGAAGUACUAUUAGCAACAAAAAGACACUUGGGACACUUUGCUAAUCAACUGGAAACCUCAUAAUUUUUACCAUAAUGUAUUCCAUCUGAAUUAGAAAUUAACUGAAAAAAAACUACAAUAAAGGAUUGAUGAGUGUUUUUUUUUUUUACAAAUUUUAGUAUGAGUAUAGACUUCUUUAGCUUGACUUCAAAGGCAGAUUCCUUCAAAGGGAAAGAUUAGUAGAUUUUAUUUUUAAAAAUGUUAAAACAGUCAUCUUCAAUGGAGAGGAGGUAGGGAUCAGAAGGCUCGAUUAUCUUUCCUAAGGAUGUAAGCAUAUCGGAAUCUCUGUGUGUGUGUGUGUGUGUGUGUGUGUGUGUGUGUGUGUGAGAGAGAGAGAGAGAGAAUUCUAAAAUCACUCUUGUUUUGUGUAAUUUUUAAUUUUUAUUUUUUAUAACUGUCACUUAUUGAGUGUUUAAUAUGUUCCAGGCAAUAUUCACAUGAGGUAGGCAUCAUUAUUUUCAUUUUACAGAAGAAGAUUGAAAUCUAGAGAAGUUAUUGUCAUCAUUAUUAUCAGAACCAAGGUAACAUUAUUACUAGACUGCAUAUUCUGCAUAUUGUACUAAGUACUUUACAAAGAUUCUCAUUUAUUUAAUUCUCACAGUGAUUAUCUGAGCAGGAAUAAUUAAUACUCUAAUAUUCAGAUAAGAAAUCUCAGGCUGAGAGGUGAAAUAAUUUGACCAGCUUGUAAGUGCCAGCCUAUAAUUAAAGCCUAUGUCUUCCUUCACUCACCCCUCCUCCACCAGCCAGGGCUCUGAAGCAUUAGUUAUGCUACUGAAAUUGUAAAAAUCUCAAAUAAUCUUAAGAACAGAAAUGAGAUUUUUCUGUUUUUCAGAAACAGAUAUUUACUAAAAAGUGUAAAGAACACAUUGACUUACAAUUUCUAUAAAUUC